CCCUACGGGGGGCAGCAGUGGGGAAUUUUUCGCAAUGGGGGCAACCCUGACGAAGCAACGCCGCGUGGGUGAUGAAGUCUCUUGGGACGUAAAACCCUUUCGACGGGGAAGAAACCGCAAGGUUGACGGUACCCGUAGAAGAAGCCCCGGCUAACUCCGUGCCAGCAGCCGCGGUAAUACGGGGGGGGCAAGCGUUGUUCGGAAUUACUGGGCGUAAAGGGUGCGUAGGCGGUCCGCUAAGUUGGAUGUGAAAACUCUGGGCUUAACCCAGAGCCUGCAUUCAAAACUGACGGGCUAGAGUUCUGGAGGGGGUAGCGGAAUUCCUGGUGUAGCGGUGAAAUGCGUAGAUAUCAGGAGGAACACCGGUGGCGAAGGCGGCUACCUGGACAGAGUCUGACGCUGAGGCACGAAAGCUAGGGGAGCAAACAGGAUUAGAUACCCGAGUAGUC
rnacentral:rRNA from 1 species